GUGAAGAACGUAGUGAAAUGCGAUAAGUAGUGUGAAUUGCAGAAUUCAGUGAAUCAUCGAAUCUUUGAACGCACAUUGCGCCCCUUGGUAUCCCGAGGGGCAUGCCUGUUCGAGCGUCAUUUCACCACUCAAGCCUGGCUUGGUGUUGGGCGACGUCCUCUUUGGGGACGCGCCUCGAAACGCUCGGCGGCGUGGCACCGGCUUUAAGCGUAGCAGAAUCUUUCGCUUUGGAAGUCGGGGCCCCGUCUGCCGGAAGACCUGCUCGCAAGGUUGACCUCGGAUCAGGCAGGGAUACCCGCUGAACUUAAGCAUAUCAAUAAGCGGAGGA
rnacentral:misc_RNA from 1 species